GACGAACGCUGGCGGCGUGCCUAAUACAUGCAAGUCGAGCGGAGCGGCGAACGGGUGAGUAACGCGUGAGUAACUGCCCCCCUCUCUGGGAUAACAGUUGGACACGGCUGCUAAUCCCGGAUAGUGGGGGAUGACUCGCGUCCUAUCAGCUUGUUGUUGGGGUGAUGGCCUACCAAGGCGGUGACGGGUAGCCGGCCGGAGAGGGUGACCGGCCACAUUGGGCUGAGAUACGGCCCAGACUCCUACGGGAGGCAGCAGUGGGGGAUAGUGCACAAUGGGCGAAAGCCGGAUGCAGCGACGCCGCGGGGGGGAUGAAGGCUUUCGGGUUGUAAACCUCUUUCGCUAUCGAAAGGGUAGGUGGAGAAGAAGCGCCGGCUAACUACGUGCCAGCAGCCGCGGUAAUUC
rnacentral:rRNA from 1 species